UCGAAAUCGGUAGGCGCUACGGACUUGUCAUUGUAAAGAGAAAAUCCGUUGGCUUUUUAGACCGUGAGGGUUCAAGUCCCUCUACCCCCA
rnacentral:tRNA from 1 species